rnacentral:rRNA from 1 species
AUUGAACGCUGGCGGCAGGCCUAACACAUGCAAGUCGAACGGUAGCACAGAGAGCUUGCUCUUGGGUGACGAGUGGCGGACGGGUGAGUAAUGUCUGGGAAACUGCCUGAUGGAGGGGGAUAACUACUGGAAACGGUAGCUAAUACCGCAUAACGUCGCAAGACCAAAGAGGGGGACCUUCGGGCCUCUUGCCAUCAGAUGUGCCCAGAUGGGAUUAGCUAGUAGGUGGGGUAAUGGCUCACCUAGGCGACGAUCCCUAGCUGGUCUGAGAGGAUGACCAGGCACACUGGAACGGAGACACGGUCCAGACUCCUACGGGAGGCAGCAGUGGGGAAUAUUGCACAAUGGGCGCAAGCCUGAUGCAGCCAUGCCGCGUGUAUGAAGAAGGCCUUCGGGUUGUAAAGUACUUUCAGCGAGGAGGAAGGCAAUACGGUUAAUAACCGUGUUGAUUGACGUUACUCGCAGAAGAAGCACCGGCUAACUCCGUGCCAGCCGCCGCCGUAAAAC